GCCUUUGAUCAGAUGUCCUCUCUUCCUUAUCGCUUGCUCUCAUUUGCUGCUGCCCUCCUCUCCUCUCUUCAGACUAUCUAAUGGAUCUCACCACCCUCUCAUCCUCUUUGCAGUUCUUCCUGUUUCCAAAAGAGUCUUUCAUUUAAGAGAUGUAACGGGGUGUGGGGUGAAGAGGCAUUAGAAAAUUACGCCAGAGGCUUUUAUGUGUGUGAUGGAGGCAAAGCUCACCUCAGAGCAGACGGUCCUUCUUCUGCUUCUCCGUCUUUUUUUUUUUUUGGUAAAUUUUUAUUGCUUUUGCAGUCCUCAUGUAACUUAAUACAUUAAUAUAUUCUCGAUGUCAAAAGGCAAAUAAAGCUAAAGUCCUUCUUGAUCCCCUCUCUCUAUCCUCCCCAUCUCAUCAGAACAUUAGUUUGAGGAUUCUAGUUUUGCUGACCUUUUUCUGUACAUUACAUACUUAAAUAAGAUCCAAUAGAAAUACACAGCA
rnacentral:lncRNA from 1 species